rnacentral:rRNA from 1 species
GCGGUGCUAUACAUGCAGUCGAACGAACUUGCGCGCCUAUUUGGAAUUGAUGACUGUACUUGUGACUGGAUUUGAGAUUUUAACCCAAAAGUGUAGCGGCAGAACGUGGUGUAAUAACACGUGGGUCACCUGCCCAGAAGUAGGGGAUAUCACCUGGCAAAUGAUGCUACUACCGAAUAACGUAGAAAACCGCAUGGUUUUCUAGAAAACCGCAUGGUUUUCUUUUAAAAGAUGGCUCUGCUAUCACAUUCUGGAUGGACCCGCGGGGGAUUAGCUAGUUGGGUGAGGUAAAGGCUCACCAAGGCAGUGAUUACUGAGCCGACCUGAGAGGGUAAUCGGCCACAUUGGGACUGAGACACGGCCCAGACUCCUACGGGAGGCAGCAGUAGGGAAUCUUCCACAAUGGACGCAAGUCUGAGGGAGCAACCCCGCGUGAGUGAAGAAGGGUUUCGGCUCGUAAAGCUCUGUUGUUAAAGAAGAACCGUGGGUAAGAGUAACUGUUUACCCAGUGACGGUAUUUAACCAGAAAGCCACGGCUAACUACGUGCCAGCAGCCGCGGUAAUACGUAGGUGGCAAGCGUUAUCCGGAUUUAUUGGGGCGUAAAGACGAGUCGCAGGCGGUUCUUCUUAAGUCUAAUGUGAAAGCCUUCGGCUCAACCGAAGAAGUGCAUCUGGAAACUGGGUAGACUUGAGUGCAGAAGAGGACAGUGGAACUCCAUGUGUAGCGGUGAAAUGCGUAGAUAUAUGGAAGAACACCAGUGGCGAAGGCGGCUGUCUGGUCUGCAACUGACGCUGAGGCUCGAAAGCAUGGGUAGCGAACAGGAUUAGAUACCCUGGUAGUCCAUGCCGUAAACGAUGAUUACUAAGUGUUGGAGGGUUUCCGCCCUUCAGUGCUGCAGCUAACGCAUUAAGUAAUCCGCCUGGGGAGUACGACCGCAAGGUUGAAACUCAAAAGAAUUGACGGGGACCCGCACAAGCGGUGGAGCAUGUGGUUUAAUUCGAAGCUACGCUGAGCAACCUUACCAGGUCGUGACAGUCUGUCUGACAG